rnacentral:tRNA from 1 species
GAGCUGUUGGUUUAAUUGGCAAAACACUUUCUUGUCAAGGAAGAUAACGUCGGAUCGUUCCCGACACAGCUCG